GAGGAUCCAAAGUCUUCCUGUAUCUCAGAUUCAAGUGCCUGGCCCACGCCAGGGCAGGGAGCCGGCGUGCCCGCAGCCCUUUUUGGUGGGACGAUCAGUAUUACCUUGCACCAAGGGGCCCUUCCAGCUAUUCCCAGCCUUCACCUCCGGUGGCACCUUCCCUCCUGCAUGGCUUCUGGGUCAGGUGUGCGGCCAUCACCCUGGCUGGGCCCUUGGCGCCCUGCAAGGUAAAUACAGGAAGUGACUGUCACGGCACGGGGCCAGCCGUGGGCCGAGGCGGGUCUGAAGGUCAGGAGGGCUUCCCGGGAGGCUUUUCCCAGGGAGGACGGAGCAUUUGCCUGUGGCCCUCUGGGACUGAGCUGAGAGCCUGUGGAUUUACCUGGGCACACAGGUCUGCUCUGCGGCUCCCGGGCAGGACAGUGCACAGGAGAGGAAGAGCUGUUGGCAGCCCAGCCUCCAGGGGCUCCUCACUGGCAGCCCUCAAAACCUGCAAAGUCUAGGGAGGUUGGUGACCUCCAGUCGUUCUGCUGAGAAGCCAUUAGCUCUAUUACCAUGGAGACCGAGGAAAUAGAAGAUUUGGAAAAACCCUGGAGGAAAUCAGUGAGUGAUUCAUGGAAGAUUGACAAGGAAUCAGCCAAGGUGAGACCUGAGCUGCUUCCAGAAAAAGAGGAAAUGCCCUGUACCGAGCAGGAGAGCCAGGAUACAGAACCCCACCGCCACAUCCCCCUGCAGAGAAACUCUAUCUUCAACCGCACCAUGAGACGCAGAAGCCAAGCCAAGGCCAGAGACACCUCUGAGCAGAACUCCAGCCACCUGGCAGAUUCACAGGAAAAUGGGAAAUCUAUAAAUGAGCCUCUGACCUUGAAUCUUCCCCAGAGCAGAAAGCCUCUCUGGAGAAUACCAACGCAGAUGGGGCCAGGAGCCCAGAAAACAAG